GGCCUAACACAUGCAAGUCGAGCGGAUGAGAAGAGCUUGCUCUUCGAUUCAGCGGCGGACGGGUGAGUAAUGCCUAGGAAUCUGCCUGGUAGUGGGGGACAACGUUUCGAAAGGAACGCUAAUACCGCAUACGUCCUACGGGAGAAGGCAGGGGACCUUCGGGCCUUGCGCUAUCAGAUGAGCCUAGGUCGGAUUAGCUAGUUGGUGGGGUAAUGGCUCACCAAGGCGACGAUCCGUAACUGGUCUGAGAGGAUGAUCAGUCACACUGGAACUGAGACACGGUCCAGACUCCUACGGGAGGCAGCAGUGGGGAAUAUUGGACAAUGGGCGAAAGCCUGAUCCAGCCAUGCCGCGUGUGUGAAGAAGGUCUUCGGAUUGUAAAGCACUUUAAGUUGGGAGGAAGGGCAGUAAGCGAAUACCUUGCUGUUUUGACGUUACCGACAGAAUAAG
rnacentral:rRNA from 1 species